NGAGAUGCUCAGUGCUAUUAGUGGUUUGUCCACAUCUUUUCAAAUACGUUGUUAUGUAUGGAUUUAAUUACUUCAGUUCAGAGCACCUUUAGGAGAAAUCAUGAUACAGUUUAAGGCACAAUUUAGCCUUCACGUUAUUUGCAGCGCUUGCUUGAAUUAUCAUUUGUCAUGGUAUGAUAAUUCUCAUGUUAUGUUGGUAAGAGAAUUUAUGCAUAAUUUCACGUUUGAUUUGAAUGUGGAGUAGCAAGCAUCUCAUUGAGUAUAAUUUGUUAUACUCAUCCCUCUCUAUUUACAAUUUUCAGGUAGAAAUUAGUAUGCUCGACGGCGGUGGAUGGAUGCAUAUUGGACCAAUGGAUCUCCAUCAUGAAGUACUUUAAUUUUUAGAAAUACUAGAAUAUUUAAUAACAGUUGAUUAUUAUUAUUUUUAAAUUUAGACUCAAUUGUGAGUCACGUCAUAACUUUCAAUUAGCCCUAUUUUUAUUAUUUGUUAGAACUACUUUUAUUAAUGUUUGAUAAAAGAUAUGAUUCCAAAUUGUUCCGCAUAUGUUAUUUAAUUUAAUUUACCUUUUGUUAAGGUUGUUCAAUUUUUACUGAAUUCGUCGUUAUAUU
rnacentral:lncRNA from 1 species